UACGAAGGGGGGCUAGCGUUGCUCGGAAUCACUGGGCGUAAAGCGCACGUAGGCGGCUUUCUAAGUCAGGGGUGAAAUCCCGGAGCUCAACUCCGGAACUGCCUUUGAUACUGGAAGCUUGAGUCCGGGAGAGUGAGUGGAACUGCGAGUGUAGAGGUGAAAUUCGUAGAUAUUCGCAAGAACACCAGUGGCGAAGGCGGCUCACUGGCCCGGUACUGACGCUGAGGUGCGAAAGCGUGGGGAGCAAACAGG
rnacentral:rRNA from 1 species